UGCUGCUUCGCUGACGAGUGGCGGACGGGUGAGUAAUGUCUGGGAAACUGCCUGAUGGAGGGGGAUAACUACUGGAAACGGUGGCUAAUACCGCAUAACGUCGCAAGACCAAAGAGGGGGACCUUCGGGCCUCUUGCCAUCAGAUGUGCCCAGAUGGGAUUAGCUUGUUGGUGAGGUAACGGCUCACCAAGGCGACGAUCCCUAGCUGGUCUGAGAGGAUGACCAGCCACACUGGAACUGAGACACGGUCCAGACUCCUACGGGAGGCAGCAGUGGGGAAUAUUGCACAAUGGGCGCAAGCCUGAUGCAGCCAUGCCGCGUGUAUGAAGAAGGCCUUC
rnacentral:rRNA from 1 species